rnacentral:rRNA from 1 species
GAUGAACGCUGGCGGCGUGCCUAAUACAUGCAAGUCGAGCGAACAGACGAGGAGCUUGCUCCUUCGACGUUAGCGGCGGACGGGUGAGUAACACGUAGGUAACCUACCUAUAAGACUGGGAUAACUUCGGGAAACCGGAGCUAAUACCGCAUAAUAUUUCGAACCGCAUGGUUCGAUAGUGAAAGAUGGCUUUGCUAUCACUUAUAGAUGGACCUGCGCCGUAUUAGCUAGUUGGUAAGGUAACGGCUUACCAAGGCAACGAUACGUAGCCGACCUGAGAGGGUGAUCGGCCACACUGGAACUGAGACACGGUCCAGACUCCUACGGGAGGCAGCAGUAGGGAAUCUUCCGCAAUGGGCGAAAGCCUGACGGAGCAACGCCGCGUGAGUGAUGAAGGUCUUCGGAUCGUAAAACUCUGUUAUUAGGGAAGAACAAACGUGUAAGUAACUGUGCACGUCUUGACGGUACCUAAUCAGAAAGCCGCGGCUAACUACGUG